rnacentral:rRNA from 1 species
AUUGAACGCUGGCGGCAGGCCUAACACAUGCAAGUCGAACGAGUGGCGGACGGGUUAGUAAUGUCUGGGAAACUGCCUGAUGGAUGGGGAUAGCUACUGGAAACUAUAGCUAAUACCGCAUACCUGCGGCUGGGCCCAGAUAGGAUUAGCUUGUUGGUGGGGUAACGGCUAACCAAGGCGACGAUCCCUAGCUGGUCUGAGAGGAUGACCAGACACACUGGAACUGAGACACGGUCCAGACUCCUACGGGAGGCAGCAGUGGGGAAUAUUGCACAAUGGGCGAAAGCCUGAUGCAGCAAUGCCGCGUGUAUGAAGAAGGCCUUCGGGUUGUAAAGUACUUUAAGCGGGGAGGCGUUACCCGCAGAAGAAGCACCGGCUAACUCCGUGCCAGCAGCCGCGGUAAUUC